UACGGGGGGGGCAAGCGUUGUUCGGAAUUACUGGGCGUAAAGGGCUCGUAGGCGGCCAACUAAGUCCGACGUGAAAUCCCAAGGCUUAACCUUGGAACUGCGUCGGAUACUGGAUGGCUUGAAUUCGGGAGAGGGAUGCAGAAUUCCAGGUGUAGCGGUGAAAUGCGUAGAUAUCUGGAGGAAUACCGGUGGCGAAGGCGGCAUCCUGGACCGACAUUGACGUUGAGGAGCGAAAGCUAGGGGAGCAAACGGG
rnacentral:rRNA from 1 species